rnacentral:rRNA from 1 species
UACGGGGGGUGCGAGCGUUGUCCGGAUUUAUUGGGCGUAAAGAGCUCGUAGGCGGCUUGUCGCGUCGACCGUGAAAACUUGUGGCUCAACCACAAGCUGGCGGUCGAUACGGGCAGGCUGGAGUUCGGUAGGGGAGACUGGAAUUCCGGGUGUAGCGGUGAAAUGCGCAGAUAUCAGGAGGAACACCGGUGGCGAAGGCGGGUCUCUGGGCCGAUACUGACGCUGAGGAGCGAAAGCGUGGGGAGCGAACAGG